AUUGAACGCUAGCGGGAUGCCUUACACAUGCAAGUCGAACGGAGUGGCGAACGGGUGAGGAAUGUAUCGGAACGUGCCCAGUAGCGGGGGAUAACUACGCGAAAGCGUAGCUAAUACCGCAUACUAUGGGAGCGGCCGUAAUCGGAUUAGCUAGGUGGGGGGGGAACGGAUCACAAAGGCGACGAUCCGGAGCUGGUUUGAGAGGGCGACCAUCCACACUGGGACUGAUACCCGGCCCAGACUCCUACGGGAGGCAGCAGUGGGGAAUUUUGGACAAUGGGGGAAACCCUGAUCCAGCCAUCCCGCGUGUGCGAUGAAGGCCUUCGGGUGGUAAAGCACUUUUGGCAGGAAAGCGGUACCUGCAGAAUAAGCACCGGCUAACUACGUGCCAGCAGCCGCGGUAAUUC
rnacentral:rRNA from 1 species